UGUGUGCUGAUGAUGGGGGGAGAAGCCCCUA
rnacentral:sRNA from 1 species